AACGAGCGCUGGCGGCAUGCCUAACACAUGCAAGUCGAACGAGACCUUCGGGUCUAGUGGCGCACGGGUGCGUAACGCGUGGGAACCUGCCCUUAGGUUCGGAAUAACUCCCCGAAAGGGGUGCUAAUACCGGAUAAUGUCUUCGGACCAAAGAUUUAUCGCCUUUGGAUGGGCCCGCGUUGGAUUAGCCAGUUGGUAGGGUAAAAGCCUACCAAGGCGACGAUCCAUAGCUGGUCUGAGAGGAUGAGCAGCCACACUGGGGCUGAGACACGGCCCAGACUCCUACGGGAGGCAGCAGUGGGGAAUAUUGGAAAAUGGGCGAAAGGCUGAUCCAGCAAUGCCGCGUGAGUGAUGAAGGCGUUAGGGUUGUAAAGCUCUUUUACCCGGGAUGAUAAUGACGGUACCGGGAGAAUAAGCUCCGGCUAACUCCGUG
rnacentral:rRNA from 1 species